GAUACACACAGUGCGUGCCUGUGUGUUAUGUGCACACACAUAUUUAAAACAAUUCCAAACUCCAUGGCAGAGUGAACCUCAGUAGAAUUGGGAGAAACACGGCUAAAGCUAUUGGCCAAAAGCCAGGGAUAAUGUCUGCAUUUCUCUUCCUUCUCACAAAGUUCUGUUGUUCAGCACUGGGAGAAGGAGUCUUUUCCAAAGACAUCCCCGUUCUCCAAUUCACACGGCCCACAAUUCCUUGGCAAGGUCUGUAAGAGUGGGAGUCAGGCUCAGAGAAAGCAAACAGGUUGUUGGCACAUGUCGGCCAAAUGAGAGGCAUGGGCCUGACCGGGCAGAAGUACCGCUGUCCUCGGCAGUCAUUUGCCAGGAUUUCAGGGGUUGGUUCAGACUUCACCUCAGACCUCCAGAAGCCUGUCAACCUGUAGCGUAACUGUUCAGAAGUAAGCUGACUCAGCUCCAACCGUUCACCCUCUCUUCUUGGCUAUCAUCACCUCAGGGUGCUGGGAACCAGGCGGCC
rnacentral:lncRNA from 1 species